UUCGGACAGAAAAAAAAUAAAUAAAAUUGGGAAUAGUAGUCCAGAAAUUCGAUUAAUCUCGGCUGAUCGUGACGGUUGACAAAUGAGGGGUAGAAGUUAUAGUUACAGUCCUUCCCCUCCAAGGGGUUACAGCAGGAGAUAUCGGAGCCCUAGCCCAAGAGGUCGCUAUGGAGGUCGUGGGAGAGAUCUUCCUACUAGUCUCUUGGUCCGUAAUCUUCGCCGUGACUGUAGGCCUGAAGAUCUUCGUGGGCCAUUUGGGGAAUUUGGUCCCUUGAAGGACGUUUAUCUGCCUCGUGAUUACUAUACAGGUGGUGAAGACAUGAAGUAAUUAGAGUUCUGUUCAAGAUGAUCUUAAUACAUGAAGAUGAAGGAAGUUGGGUUUGAAUACAAACUAUGAAGAAGUUCAAGUCUUGAAUCUUGGAGGGAGCCAAGGGGUUUUGGUUUUGUGCAAUAUGUAGACCCUGCUGAUGCAGCUGAAGCCAAAUAUCAGAUGGAUGGCCAGGUUCUUCGUGGGCGUGAGCUAACUGUUGUGUUUGCUGAGGAAAACCGGAAAAAACCAUCAGAAAUGAGGGCUAGAGAACGUUACAGGGGUCGGUCUUAUGAUAGGAGGCGGUCACCACCUCGUUAUUCUCGAUCACCAUUUUCUUCUCGGACGUAUUCCCGUACUCCUGAUUAUUAUUCACCAUCUCCUCGACGAAGGUAUUAUUCGAGGUCCAUUUCUCCUCGAGAUCGGAGGUACAGGAAAAGGUCUUACUCAAGGUCUCCUUAUGGCUCAAGGAGCCGGAGUUGGAAUCGGAGCCGGAGCCUGGAUUCUGAAGGUUACUCGAUGUAAUUGGGUUGGUGAAUUGAGAUGAGGGGGGCUUGAUCACCGGAAGGCAGGUUUAUGGGAUGUUGUACUCCUGGAUUAUUAUUGAGUCUGUUCUCUUCAGCUAUGUUAAUAGUGAAGGCUUGUUCAUUUAUACACUUUAGCACAUGAUGUAUUUUAUUUAAGUUCCUGCAGGUUAGAAAGCUGAAUUGAUGGUUUUUUUCCCCCACUCAGUUCUUGUUUUAUGUUUCGAACUUAUUUCUGCCUAGUUUUACUUACCUUAUCUUUUGAGGCUGUUUUG